rnacentral:rRNA from 1 species
UACGUAGGGUGCGAGCGUUGUCCGGAAUUAUUGGGCGUAAAGAGCUCGUAGGCGGUCUGUCGCGUCUGCUGUGAAAACCUAGGGCUUAACUCUGGGCGUGCAGUGGGUACGGGCAGGCUAGAGUGCGGUAGGGGAGACUGGAAUUCCUGGUGUAGCGGUGAAAUGCGCAGAUAUCAGGAGGAACACCGGUGGCGAAGGCGGGUCUCUGGGCCGUAACUGACGCUGAGGAGCGAAAGCGUGGGGAGCGAACAGG